rnacentral:rRNA from 1 species
AAUCUUCCGAAAUGGACGAAAGUCUGACGGAGCGAUGCCGCGUGAGUGAUGAAGGUCAUAGGAACGUAAAACUCUGUUGUUAGAGAAAAACAAGUAUCGGAGUAAUAUUCCGGUACCUUGACGGUACCUAACCAGAAAGCCCCGGCGAACUACGUGCCAGCAGCCGCGGUAAUACGUAGGGGGCAAGCGUUGUCCGGAAUUAUUGGGCGUAAAGGGCACGCAGGCGGUUAUUUAAGUCUGAUGUGAAAUCUUGUGGCUUAACCACAAGCGGUCAUUGGAAACUGGAUAACUUGAGUACAGAAGAGGAGAGUGGAAUUCCACGUGUAGCGGUGAAAUGCGUAGAGAUGUGGAGGAACACCAGUGGCGAAGGCGGCUCUCUGGUCUGUAACUGACGCUGAGGUGCCAAAGCGUGGGUAGCGAACA